CUCAGCCCCCACCCUUGCUCCAGUGGCAGGUGGACGGGGAGCCCCUGGCUGGGAACAGCUCAUGGGGGACCCUGCAGGUCAGCUCCUGGGCCCAGGUGGACGAGGCCGUCAGCACCCUGAGCUGGAUGGGGGGUGGUGACAGAAGCCACCAGAUCUUUUGCCUCGGCUCCAACCCCCACGGGUUCCAUAUUUUACUGCUGAACCCACCGGAAACAGCUCCCACAGGUGGCCUCACUCGGGCAUUUAUCGAAAUCAGCUGCAAACUCGUCUUCGUGGUGACUGGAUUCUUACUGGCCUAUUACCUCACCCUGCUCUAUUACAGACGGACACCCUGCUGCAUUUGUGAAAGCAG